AGCUUAUAAUAUAUACGCAAGAAAUACCAAGGUUCAUGACCAUUACAGAACAGUAUUAAGUAAUUAAACUUUUGUAUUUUUAAGAUCAGUUAGAGAAUAAUCUUGUAAUCUGUAAAAUGGUGAAAACUUUUAUCUUGAGACGAAGCAGACCAAGUGAACGCUUACUGUAAAAGCUGUAAGUGUACUGUAUGCCACCAACAUGGUAGAAAAGCACACAGAAUAGGUGGACAGAAAAUAAGUUAUUAGACUAAACUGAGUGCAAAAUAAGUAAUUGAAGAUGCCCAUAGUAGUCAGGGCAUUUGCAGAGGAAAGUGAGGUUAAUUAAAUCUAGUUGACAUGGAGUUACAUGGAUGUCUAAGUAGAAGCUAGAGCAGUACACAGACAAGAGAGAAAAGGGAGCAUGUAUAAUAAUGUAAACUCGCUGUUGGAGAUAAUCUCGUCCCUUCAAUUUGAUGCUUAUGAAGACCGUAUCCAUGAAUGUGACCAUUAUGCUUUAUAUAUUGUUUAUUGUGGAAAAGUGACAGACAAUAGACUAAUGAGUAGUUUUUCCUGUAGUCAUGUGCCUGUAACUAAAUAGUGUACUGGCACAGUAUAUGUGUUAGAAGAAAUUUGUGUCCUUUUCAAAUAUAAAAUUUUAAGAAACAUGGUUUUAAAAAUUUUAUGGUUUACUGCUAACACUACUCUGAUUGCUUUCCAUGCAUAUAAAUAAAUAAUUGUACUUCAAUAGGUCAUUAGGACUAGCAGUCACGCCUAGAAUAAGGUUCUUGGAAAAAAGAUUGAAGCAGAAAUUGGGCGCGAUGUCAAGUGCGGCAGAGACCGACCAUGUGCAGCAGGGACCUGACUUACCAUUGAAGCCAAAACUCACCACGCUUUAUUUUGGAGCAGAUGACAGUGAUGAAGACGAGGACGACUUCCUCAGCAGCUCUAAGACUCAGAAUCGGUGGAUUGGCCAAGAUGAAACAGAGGAACCUAAUGACAGCGACUCCAACGUUAACCAGGAAAUUACCAAGACAAGCUCCAAGAAGAAGCCAGUGACAAAAGUUGCGGCCAUCAAAAAGUUAUUAAAAAAGAUGAUGCAGUGGUAAAAAUAGUCGCCAGGCACUUCACAAGUACAGCCUGGGUUCAUAUCCUGGCCAGGGAGCAUUGACUGGGUGCCAGUCCUUAACUGUAUGCCUCUGCUCACUCGGCAGCGAAUGUAUACUAGCUCUAUCUAGAAAUCCAACAUUUUGCUUGUAACUCAUUCUGUUUAUAUGUACUUUUACCUAGAUAAACUAUUAUUUUCUAUGAACCUUACAGUUUUUUGUAAAGUUUUGCCGACUUUCUGGAUGCUUUCUUAGCGAGGGUGAUGAUAAUAUUCCCCUGCACUAUGUAACCCGUCAGGGGGGAAGGGGGUGCCAAGGUUUUGGCUCAUAGUCUGUUGUAAGCCAAUGUCAUGUGACCCAGUAGUAGUGAGCCAUCUUAGUAAGAUGGCUUCAUGAAGCCAUCAAGGAGCUCUUCCCCGAAACCCCUCAUUCAGUUUAAUUUUCAACAGGAAGAACGAAACAAAGUAUUUUCAGUCUUUUAUUAUAUAAUAUAUUCUGGUAAAUACUGGAGGCCAUUUUGUAAUUAAAUGCCAUUAUGACAUUUAACCUGAUAUUCAAUGAAGGAUAUCUACAGAUAUUUCACAUAUGAAGAUAUCUUUAAAGUUACGAAAUAUUAAAAACUCAACAACCGUAAUCAUAUGCCUAUCAUAUAUUGAUUUUAUUACAUAUUUAAGAAUAGUAUACUGUAUUUUAUCAUGAUUAUAGGAUGUAAAGUAUAACUACAUAAUUCAUAACCCAUUGUACAUUCUCUUAGACAUGUAGUACCAAAAACUGGAAUUUUACUUCUGUAGUGCAAUCUUAAAGGUACUUUAAUAGUACAAUACAGUACUGUACUUUUUUCAUCCUGAUUUUCUCAUCCAAUAUUUAUAUUUGCUAAAUAAGGUUUUACAUUUAUAGUUUGUUUCCAUUAAUCAAUACUUAAUAGCUGGAAGAUGCCUGACAAUUCUAGUAUAAAAUUAAAUGAUCACACUGAAGUAAUGAUUAUAAAAUCGGCUGAAACAAAAUAACUAAAAAAAUCUUUGUGUAGCUACAUAGCGAUAAUUACAACACAUAACAGCUUUUAUAUGAUUAAUGUACACAAAGAAAAUAUUUUAUAAAUGUUAAAGCAAGGAAGAUUUUAUGGCCACUAAUGAUAGCGUCGUUGGAAGGCCACCAGGUCCCAGUCUUCAAGGCGGGUCCGUUCGUGGAUAUCAUCUCGGCUACCAUAGUAGCUGUAGUCAUAGUCAUUGCUGUUGAUCAGUAGAAUAGGUUAGUUUCACAAUCAGCAUUAUGCUACAUGGCGAGUUCUUUUUAGUGCGUCAGUACAGUACUGUAUGUGGUUGUAAUGCAGCCCCCUCUAAACCCAUCUUACCCACACUUCACCAGGAAUGAAUGGCAAUUAUAUAGGCUAAGUCUGACUUGCCAAAAACCAACCUAUUACAGGACUGAACAUAUUCUGUAGAUUGAAACCUUUAUUUCUAUAAGUAUAUAAAUGAAUUAAAUUUUUUUAGAUGAGUGCACAAAAUCUUAGAACAGCUCUUUAUGUUCAGAAUCGCUGGGCAGUCACUGUAUUCUUAAAAACAAAAAUUAACUAUAUUAUUUCAAUACAACCUCAAAAGUCUGAACUUCGUUAUAAUUAAAACCUUAAAACAAGUUAAGCUUUAACUUCUGGAACAAUAUUUGAAAGUUCAAAAAUAGCUGAUAUGGUAGGGCAAAGUAGGAUUAGGUUGGCAAGACUUGGCAGGGUUAUACUGAGAAAAGCCAGCUGAAUUUUAGAAUCAUACUCACUCGUCACAAGUGGGACUUGUAUAGCCUCGACUGCAGUGACACACGUUGGGGCCAAUGCAGCGUCCUCGGUCUCCACAGUCGUUCUCACAUACAGCUGUCGGGAGUAACCAAUGCAUCAUACCAAAGUUUUACUCUAUAUUUUUGCUUAAAAAUAUUAUAUACCGCCUGGUUUUCACAUGAUUUUAGGAUAGGUCAGAGUAUAACCUGGUUUACAUAUUCCUUUCAGUUGCGCUAGUAAAGAAAACUUUAUAAAUACUGUACAAUAUUGUGCAAUGCUUGAAGGUCAUGAGUUCAAUAUAAACAUAGUUAAAAUGUGAACUACUGUACAUUAUUUGUUAAAACAUUUGUAAUGGGUUACAGUUAUGAUGAAAAGAGGGUCAACAAUGAGUACAGCAGGUGUUAAUUGGCAGCUCCUGGUAGCUGGGACAGAUGGCUGAUGGGUUGCCUACAAGGAGGUGUUAUGCCAUAACAGCUAGGCUAAGGCAAGAUGACUUUAGUUAGAACAAAAGAACACCUGAGAAUGAAACACAAUGAAAUUCUAAAGUUUUGGUCUCAUAUUUUCUGGUACAGGAAGCCUGUUAAGCUUAUCCAAGUCACCUUAGGGCAACGACUGACCUUCCUCAGGUUGUAACCUAGAACAGUCCCUUAAUUCCUGGGUAUGUAUUUACUGCCAGGUCAACAAACACAUUAGGUGUAAGGAAACAUGCCUGAAUCUCUUCAUUCUGCUGUUAAGGGCAAAUACAUUUAGGAUAAAUCACUGGGGCUUGCUUAAAAUAAUUAAACAAAUCAGACAGGUAAAUAGACUGUUGAGGUAGUCCAAGAAUCAGGGAGCAAAAUUUGGAAAUUGACUAUCAGAUGGAAGAACUGAAUACCACAGUGGUGAGGUAUUCUUUACGAAUAAGAUGACUCAAGUCUUCUCUAAAGUAAAUGUGCUGAGCACUACACCAUUCAUUUAGCAGAGAUCUGUUUCUAAAAUACUGUAUGUCAGAUUUGGUGGGGGGAAAUAGAGGUCAAUUAUAAAGAUUAUGCUUAGUUGGGAAUCCAAGAUGUCCAUCAUAUGAUUCCAGAGAGUCAAGACAUCAGGCUAGCUGAAAAAAAAUAGUUUAGUGGUUUUUAGUUUCUGCAUUUGGUAAUAUCUGGUAAUAUCAUAGACUAAUGGGGAAUGCCAUGAUUGUAGAAAUGGUGACUCACGAGUCUGGCAGCGGGCCCCAGCAUAUCCAGGGAGGCAGGUGCAACGAUGUGGUCCAGUACAGACACCGCCGUGCAGGCAGGGCAGCGGGCAAAGUGCUGUUGGGGAGCAGUGCGGGUUAAGGCAGGCAGCCGAUUAUUAGUGCCAAAAGGUAGUCAUUAGGACGAAUAAUCAGGGAAUGAAAAGGUAAAUAAAGACAAUAUUGUUGAUGGCAUGAGACUGGGAGCCUAUAAUUAAUAAGUUAGAAUGAACUACAAAGAUGAAGAAAUAAGUAGUUUUAGUAUAAAGAAUGCAGAUAUACAGUUUGGUUUACUCCAUGUGAGAGGGUGAUAUGAUGAGAGAAGACUGAAUAUAUGAAGAGGAUAAGAUGUUGGGCUCUUGCUACACAAAUUAGUAGGAUUACUUAGUAUUAUCACUGGAGAAAGCACGGCCCUAGAAAGUUAGCACUCUUGAAUAAUGUUUUAACUUGGAGAGAAAGAAAAUGGUGUUGGCAAGUAAAUACUGUCAUAUAUCUCCAUUUGAACUUAAUAAAUUAUUGAGAAACCA